GAUGAACGCUGGCGGCGUGCUUAACACAUGCAAGUCGAACGGAAAGGCCCAAGCUUGCUUGGGUACUCGAGUGGCGAACGGGUGAGUAACACGUGGGUGAUCUGCCCUGCACUUCGGGAUAAGCCUGGGAAACUGGGUCUAAUACCGGAUAGGACGAUGGUUUGGAUGCCAUUGUGGAAAGUUUUUGCGGUGUGGGGUGAGCUCGCGGCCUAUCAGCUUGUUGGUGGGGUAAUGGCCUACCAAGGCGUCGUCGGGUAGCCGGCCUGAGAGGGUGUACGGCCACAUUGGGACAGUGAGACGGCCCAGACACCUACGGGGGGGAGCAAUGGGGAAUAUUGCACAAUGGGCGCAAGCCUGAGGCAGCGACGCCGCGUGGGGGAUGACGGCCUUCGGGUUGUAAACUCCUUUCGCUAGGGACGAAGCGUUUUUGUGACGGUACCUGGAGAAGAAGCACCGGCUAACUACGUG
rnacentral:rRNA from 1 species